UUCGUCACAAAAAAGAGAGGGAUUUUAAACCCUAAUUUACAUAGAAGAGAGGCACUCUCAGAAAGCCAAAAUCGUCCCCUGAAAUUGAAGAGGUGCAGAGUACCGCGGUGCUACUUUUGUCUUUGUUUUCUCUCCAUUUCUAGUUUCCGAGAGGAAGUAGGGUUACGAUUUCUUGCUGGAAAUUGAGGUGGCUUUUUGUGUUUUCUAUUGUGAUUUCCUGGUACACUAUUGGAUUUCUUUUAUCAAAAGAAAUUAUUACGUAAGGUGGCAUGGAGACCCGAGGAUGAGGAAAAAGUAAAGAAAAUUUUUCACUUAAAAGCUUCUCACAGAUUGUCUGAUAUGUUUAAUGAAGCUCGGAAAGCAGGUAAAAGGCCACUUUGGGUUGGAGAAGAUGUGUGGAACAAUUGGUAGCCCAUUGGAAUUCAGCUGCUUUUCGAGUAAAGUCUACACAAGCCUCUCUAAAUCAACUGUCUGAAAAGGGUGGGACUCUUCAUACAGGUGGCUCAAUUACAGUUCAUGAUCAUGCCAAGCGCAUGGCAAAAGAAUUUGGUCGUUCAGUGCAUAUUGAUGAGGUCUUUCAACAGACCCAUAUACGAAAAGAUACUGGACAGUUUGUUGAUGAAAGAUCCAACAAAACAUAUAUUUUCUCAAUAAAUUUUCUCAAGCUAUGUCCGAGGCUGCAUCAUCUGUUGAUGAAUCACAUCCUAUGGACCCUGGUUUGGAGGAUACAAUUAGGUCUAAGUGUUGGUCUGAUGCAGUUGGUGGCAUGACCACUAAGGGGCGACUGUAUGGAGCUGGAGACCUUGCUCGUCAUUUAAAAGAUACACAAAGCAGUCGCGUCGACGUCAAUCUUAAAAGGAAAGCAUCUUGUAGCAGUUCACGUGAUUGGUCAAUUGAAACAAUGACUUGCAGAAAAUGAUGUGCUUAUUCGUUAGUUGCAACAGAUUCAAUCAGUUGUCAUGCAAUUCUUACCCACUGAAGCACAAACUGCCAUUCAAAAUAUUUGUCAACAACAAAAUACCAACUUAAAUAAAAAAAAGGGGGAACAACACCAAAACCAAAAAAAAGAAGAUGACCAAGACAAAAAUCAACAAGACUCUCCUAAUUAUGAAGAUUAUUAGCAUUAGAAAAAUAUUAAUUACUCUAUUUUAAUUAACUAUAUAUGAUGUUUGAAUUAUGAAUUAUUUUAUUAUUAUGAUAUAAACAUUACUAUUAUCUUUU